rfam:Ornithorhynchus anatinus chromosome 2, whole genome shotgun sequence.
AGCAGUGUGGCUCAGUGGAAAGAGCACGGGCUUGGGAGUCAGAGGUCAUGGGUUCGAAUCCUGGCUCUGCCA